rnacentral:rRNA from 1 species
UACGGAGGGCGCGAGCGUUAAUCGGAACUACUGGGCGUAAAGCGCGCGUAGGCUGUUGUGUAAGUUGGGGGUGAAAUCCCACGGCUCAACCGUGGAACAGCCCUUGAUACUGCGCGACUUGAAUCCGGGAGAGGGUGGCGGAACUCCAGGUGUAGGAGUGAAAUCCGUAGAUAUCUGGAGGAACAUCAGUGGCGAAGGCGGCCACCUGGACCGGUAUUGACGCUGAGGCGCGAAAGCGUGGGGAGCAAACAGG